CAUGUAAACAUGAAACCUAACCUAUAAUAGCAAUCAAUAAAACGAUUGCGUCUAUAUUUUUCUUCAGGAUUUAUUCUCAAUAUCUAAAUAUUAGGGACACUUAAGUUAUAGAUGCCUUAGCGGGUUUGCAGAGAAUUUUUAAUGGCUACAUUAACUGAAGAAAUGUUUACCAAAUUUGAAACGCAAGAAGAAUUACACAGGUUUCUUCAUAAUUGCGUCAAUGAGCUAAAGCUGCCACAUCAAGAGCCCGAAAGCGUAAUGAAUGCAGUUCAAUUUUUUUACCGUGAGAAGGCCAUAGACGGGAAAAAGCCUUUAGAAACCACCUUACCAGGGAAUCUUCAAAAUACAUUAGAUGCAGUUUUCCAGUUACGUUAUACAGAUAUUGUCAAUGCGAUUGUUCAUGAAAAGCUACAUGCGACUGGACAUCCCGUACUACAAAAUAUUGACUGGAAAGUAAAGUGGAUUUUGGGGUCUUCAAAGUUAGCCAGCAUACGAGAGCCGAUUUGUCAACUGGAACUUCUCUGCAUUACCAUGGGGAGCAACUUUAUACCAACCAGAACGUCCAUACAUUUUGAAUGCGACUUGGAGAAAUUGGAUCAACUGAUCGGCGUUCUUAAGAAAGUUAAAAGUAGCUUGAUUCAAAAUUAAUUAUAAAAAGUUUGAAUUGGAUAUUUCCAAUAAGAACCCGCAAGGAAAUGCAGCUUUAUUGUCUCCCAUGAGUAUUAUGAUUGCUCAUUCUUAAACUGUGCUCACUUAAAAGUAUUUUGGGUAAUAAGUUUCAAUUUUCCUACUUACGGAAACGAACUAAUUUUAGUAGUAUUUAAUGAUCUGCAUAUUCGUCAUUUUUUAUAUAAUUUGAUGUAUUUGGUAUAAAUAGUGCACUCAUGUUUAAUUCAGGCAUUUCGAAUGAAAUCGCCAUUAUUACUUACAUACUUAUCUAACACCUGACCUGAUAUUGCUGAAGGUAUUUUAAGCAAAAAAACUUUUGUACUUACAGGGUUUUAACCUUUCAAGUACAAAUCAAAUCGCUACUUAGUCAUUUGUUUGAUGGUGGACAAGUCAGUAGGUACGCAUUUCGCUCCGGUUAGAAAUAAAAAUAUUUUAAACUGUUUCGAUUUUCUUGCGGAAAAUUGUGGAUAUUCUGAUGUAUGAAAUUAUCGUCCUAUGUUCUGUGUUAUUUUCCCUGCCGAUAAAGUGAUUUUACAGAAAAUACGCGACUUUUUCGAAUUCGACUUUGCUGACGUUUCGCUGCCAAACUAAAGUGGCUUUUUAGCAUGCGCCAUCUCUUCAAGACUGAAUAUUUUCGACACAAAAAUCCAAAUUUUAAGUUACGGGAAUGUUCGUGAUCUCCGCAGCAUUUUUGGGACCCUCACUAAUGGAUUAUUUGAGCAUGGAAAUGAGCAGUUAAACGGUAUGUGCUAUUUUUUCACAUAACGUAGUCCAUAUAUUUUGCACAUAAAAUUCAAACAAUUCAACAACAGCUGGACUAAGAAACGUCGAUUAGUUCGCUACUAUCAAGGAAUUAAACGUAUUAGGAUUAUAGAAUAUAUUUUGUCACCAAAUGACCCCACAAGAAGCUUAUAAUUAUGUACAAAUGCUCAUAGAAAGCACCUGAUGUUCUUUAAGACAUUUGCUCAUACUUUACCUCGUUGAAAUUGGCAAAACUUUUUACAUAAAGUUUGCAAUAGUUGAGAAAAUUUUAAUGAUUGAUCCAUAAAAAGUUACUUCUGUUAAUCUAAUGAACAUCGAAACGUUUAUACUGUUAACUUGCAUAAUACAUUUUUAGUAUAACUGACGUAUGUUAUAAUACCGAUUAAAAUAGUUAGAUUAUUUUGAAUCUGAAAAGCAUAACGUGUUUUUGAAUGAGCUGGUUAUAUUUCUCUUGUCCUUGGACGAAAACGGAAUAUAAUGUAAGUUUUUGUCUAAAAAUACUAGACAUGUAGUGUAUGCAUUUCUCGGUCAAAAUUCAACUUUCUACAGAAUCAUUACAUAGCUCUUGACUUAAAAAGCUCGCCCGACGAAAUAUUAUAGAUACUUACAGAUAUUCUGAAUAUGAAUUAUAUGACUAAUUUUAUGCAAAAAUUAUGAUUUGCCUUUUCGUGAAUUAUCAAUUAUUCAUGAAAUAUUGGGGGCUUAAAUUUACCAAGUUGUAUUAGUAGCGUACAGGAAAAUAGGCAUUUUUUUAAAUAAAACCUAAGUCAGAUCGUCUUAUUUUGAUCCCAUGAA
rnacentral:lncRNA from 1 species